ensembl:lncRNA EXOSC10-AS1 EXOSC10 antisense RNA 1
CAAGCAGCCGGGGCGGUGCACCACCGGCCCCCGCUUCCUUCUCGGGGUUGGGAGGCACCGAGGGCCUCGAGGGGCUGCGGGACUCGGGCUUGGUGUGGAGGGCAAGAGCGCUGCGACGUGCGGACUGGAGAGUCAGCCUUUGGGCUGGAGACACGGGAGCGGGUGGCUACAGUGGUUUACGUUGUUGCACGGGGCGAGUAGAACGUAUCCUUCUUUGCGUCCAAAAUCUGGUUCCUUGUUGGAUUUGAACAGAUUAUGUGGCUCGUCGGGGCGAACCGAGGGUUUUUAUUUACUUGGAAAGAAUCAUCACAGCCCGCGAAUUCACAAGCUGGAUUUAGCCAUUUUCCCUUAGAUUCUGCGCCAUGAGCCUAUAGGCUGUUGAAUACGAGAGAAGUGCUUUUCUAAACGAGUUUCUAAAUUUACCAGCAGUGUCCAGGAAGAGGCCCAGAACAUACAUAUUCAGCACCAGAAAAGACUGGCACGCAAUUUUUCUUGACAAACUGGGUCUUGCUCUUUGAAGGGUGGGUGGGAAUGUGCUGUUUUUAUGAGAAUGUCAAAGAACUUCUCAGAAUCACAUUAAGCAUGCUAAUUACCAAAUAUUAAAUGCUAAUUGUUCCACACGCAGUUCGAAUGCCAAGGAAGGAAGAUGAAACUAGUAUAAGCUACUCUUGACAUUAUGUCAGGGAUGGUUUUGACACGUUUUGCAGCCUCCACCUGGAGGUGGGGAACGUUUCCUGUGUCGUCCCCAGAGCAGAGUAACAGCGUUGUUUAUGGGUAAGCUCCUGAAGAAAGCGUCUAGCUCCAACUGUGCUUCCUCCCUCCAGUACCCUCUGAACUCCUCCAAGCAGACGUUGUUUCCUGCAGACAUCGCUGGAACCAUUCUGGUUAACACAGAGUGGGAACUCAGUACACAUUUGUGAAGUGAACUCCUGGAAGAGCUCUUGUGAGGGAGGCACCGAAUUAUCAGGCAGCUCAAGAGAUAGAUUCACUCUCCUGAAAUUAGAGAUGGGAUGCCCUUAAUACAAUUCAUUCCACCCAUUAAGUCUUCAAUAAAUGUUCAGCAUAUCCA